rnacentral:rRNA from 1 species
UCGAGAAUCUUCCGCAAUGGACGAAAGUCUGACGGAGCGACAUUUCGUGGAGGAUGAAGCCCUUCGGGGUGUAAACUUCUUUUAUUUGGGAGGAAGUAAUUGACAGUACCAGAUGAAUAAGGGGUUACUAACUCUGUGCCAGCAGUAGCGGUAAUACAGAGACCCCAAGCGUUGCCCGGAUUUAUUGGGCGUAAAGGGUCCGUAGGUGGUUUGGUAAGUUCAAGAUUAAACCUCAUCGGCUUAACCUUUGAGCUGUUUUGAAUACUGCCAAACUAAGAGGGCGUUAGAGGCAAAUGGAACCGACGGAGUAGGGGUGAAAUCCGUUGAUCUCGUCGGGAACACCAAAAGCGAAGGCAAUUUGCUGGGGCGACCCUGACACUGAGGGACGAAAGCGUGGGGA